rnacentral:tRNA from 1 species
GGGGGUGUAGCUCAGAUGGUAGAGUGCGCGCUUAGCAUGCGCGAGGUACCGGGAUCGAUACCCGGCACCUCCA